GUCUGUCCACAAUGGGAUCGAUCAGAUCUAUCGGCGUACGUGCGUCUGGCUGCUAGGGCGCUUGCCCGCUGGCCGCCGCCGCCUGCUGCGUGCCGCCAUGACACCAUCCACGACCACAGAACCAGCACGCGGCCAGACGAUAGGAUACUGCCUACUGGAGACUCCAGCGAGAGCGAGUGCAUAUACUCGUUUCAACCGGUAAUGGCCGCCGGUAAUUGUUAUCGCCGGCUUUCUGGGCGCCGUACAACUGUCGAGUAACUCCUAAGCAAAUCGAUUGCGAGAAGGAGAAUUUUGUCAGAUGUUGAAGAGGACUAAGGUUAACUACUGCUAGCAUCUUAAUGGGAAAAUCUAAAGGACCUGUAAGUGAUCAUGGUGGACAUAUCCAUGCCCAUAAUCUUUAAUGCACUUGAUUAGAGAUCUCCUGAUUGGAAUUGUCCUACUGUGUUUGUAGUACUAGAGCUUUGGUCCACUUUUUCAUCAAGUAUGUAGUCAUUUCACCACAACUACAACAAUUCUAUGAUGUUUUUUGUGAAUCAUGGUGUGUGUAUA